AGGGUAGACGAACUAACCCCUAUUGAAGUUUAGUUCUUACGUUAAGGAGAAAUAGUAUG
rnacentral:sRNA from 1 species